rnacentral:rRNA from 1 species
CAGCCGCCACGGGAAUACGUAGGGGGCAAGCGUUAUCCGGAAUAACUGGGCGUAAAGGGUGCGCAGGUGGUUUAACAAGUUAGUGGUGAAAGGCAUAGGCUCAACCAAUGUAAGCCAUUAAAACUGUUUAACUUGAGUGCAGGAGAGGAAAGUGGAAUUCCUAGUGUAGCGGUGAAAUGCGUAGAUAUUAGGAGGAAUACCAGUGGCGAAGGCGACUUUCUGGACUGCAACUGACACUGAGGCACGAAAGCGUGGGGAGCAAACAGGAUUAGAUACCCGAGUAGUCCCUGUCUCUUAUACA